AAAUCCGAGGUGUCAGGAGACCUGGAAGAUGCUUUGCUGGCUGUGGUAAAGUGUGUGUGAAACAAGCCUGCGUACUUUGCUGAAAGACUGUCCAUGAAGGGCCUGGGAACAGAUGGCAACACUCUGAUCAGAGUGGUGGUGUUCCGCUCAAGAUAGAUAUACUGGAUAUCGGAAGAGAGCUCCUGACUAUGUAUGGGAAGUCUCUCUACUCCUUCAUUAAGGGAGACUGCUCAGGAGACUACAGGAACGUUCUGCUGAAGCUCUGUGGCAGUGAGGAUUGAAGGAUUCCUGGGGUAUGUCCCGCGUUAUGGGAAGGAGGGGAUCAUAAGGAUUUCUCUCAGGUUUUUGUUUGUUUGUUUGUUUGUUUGUUUCUCUCAUUAAUUGCUAUGAGUAGUGAUUUUGAUUAAUUAAUUCUCUGGUUGGGUAAUGGCAGUUCCGUUUUAGCCUAGUAAAAAAAAGCCUUGUUUUACUAGCU
ensembl:lncRNA